rnacentral:rRNA from 1 species
UUUGAUCAUGGCUCAGAUUGAACGCUGGCGGGAUGCUUACACAUGCAAGUCGAACGGCAGCACGGACUUCGGUCUGGUGGCGAGUGGCGAACGGGUGAGUAAUGUAUCGGAACGUGCCUAGUAGCAGGGGAUAACUACGCGAAAGCGUAGCUAAUACCGCAUACGCCCUUCGGGGAAAGCGGGGGACCUUCGGGCCUCGCACUAUUAGAGCGGCCGAUAUCGGAUUAGCUAGUUGGUGGGGUAACGGCUCACCAAGGCGACGAUCCGUAGCUGGUUUGAGAGGACGACCAGCCACACUGGGACUGAGACACGGCCCAGACUCCUACGGAAGCAGCAGUGGGAAUUUUUGGACAAUGGGGAAACCUGAUCCAGCCAUCCCGCGUGUGCGAUGAAGGCCUUCGGGUUGUAAAGCACUUUUGGCAGAAAGAAACGGCACGGGAUGCUACCCCGUGCAACUGACGGUACCUGCAGAAUAGCUUGCGGCUAACUACGUGCCAGCAGCCGCGGUAAUACGUAGGGUGCAAGCGUUAAUCGGAAUUACUGGGCGUAAAGCGUGCGCAGGCGGUUCGGAAAGAAAGAUGUGAAAUCCCAGAGCUUAACUUUGGAACUGCAUUUUAACUACCGAGCUAGAGUGUGUCAGAGGGAGGUGGAAUUCACGCGUGUAGCAGUGAAAUGCGUAGAUAUGCGGAGGAGCACACCGAUGGCAGAAACAGCCUCCUGGGAUAACACUGACGCUCAUGCACGAAAGCGUGGGAGCAAACAGGAUUAGAUACCCUGGUAGUCCACGCCCUAAACGAUGUCAACUAGCUGUUGGGGCCUUCGGGCCUUGGUAGCGCAACUAACGCGUGAAGUUGACCGCCUGGGGGUGGUCGCAAGGUCAAACUCAAAGGAGAUUGACGGGGACCCGCACAAGCGGUGGAUGAUGUGGAUUAAUUCGAUGCAACGCGAAAAGCCUUACCUACCCUUGACAUGUCUCUGAAUCCCGAAGAGAUUUGGGAGUGCUCGCAAGAGAACUAGAUUUGAGUGCUGGCGGCGUCUCGUAAAAAACUCGUGUCGUGAGAUGUUGAGUUAAGUCCCGCAACGAGCGCAACCCACUUCAGCCAUUGAUUGCUAGAAAAGGGCACUCUAAUGCAGGUUGCAAGAAAUUCGACAAACCGGAGGAAAGGGUGAGGAUAGCGUCAAGUCUCUGGCUUUUCCUCGUUGAGCUUCACACGUCAUACAAUGGUCGGGACAGAGGGUCGCCAACCCGCGAGAAGGCCAAUCCCAGAAAACCCCGAUCGUAGUCCGGAUCGCAGUCUGCAACUCGACUGCGUGAAGUCGGAAUCGCUAGUAAUCGCGGUCAUGUCGCGGUGAAUACGUUCCGGAAUGCAUACACACCGCCCGUCACACCAUGGGAGUGGGUUUUACCAGAAGUAGUUAGCCUAACCGUAAGGAGGGCGAUUACGGUAGGAUUCAUGACUGGGGUGGAAGUCAUCUUUCAGAACAACUCUGGCAUUACCCUGGUACUCC